GACGAACGCUGGCGGCGUGCUUAACACAUGCAAGUCGAACGGAAAGGCCCUGCUUGCAGGGUGCUCGAGUGGCGAACGGGUGAGUAACACGUGGGUGAUCUGCCCCUUACUUUGGGAUAAGCCUGGGAAACUGGGUCUAAUACUGGAUAGGACCAUGCUGUAGGUGGUGUGGUGGAAAGAUUAGUUUCGGUAAGGGAUGAGCUCGCGGCCUAUCAGCUUGUUGGUGGGGUAAUGGCCUACCAAGGCGUCGACGGGUAGCCGGCCGGAGAGGGUGGACGGCGACAUUGGGACUGAGAUACGGCCCAGACUCCUACGGGAGGCAGCAGUGGGGAAUAUUGCACAAUGGGCGCAAGCCUGAUGCAGCGACGCCGCGUGGGGGCUGACGGCCUUCGGGUUGUAAACUCCUUUCAGCCAUGACGAAGCCCUUGUGGUGACGGUAGUGGUAGAAGAAGCACCGGCUAACUACGUG
rnacentral:rRNA from 1 species